rnacentral:rRNA from 1 species
UAGCAAUACAGGUGGCGCACGGCGCACGGGUGCGUAACACGUGGAUAAUCUGCCCUCUGAUGGGGAAUAACUCGCCGAAAGGCGAGCUAAUUCCGCAUAAUAUUCCGAGAACUUCGGUUUUUGGACUGAAAGGCGUAAGUCGUCGGAGGAGGAGUCCGCGCACGAUUAGCUAGUUGGUAGGGUAAUGGCCUACCAAGGCUUUGAUCGUUAGCUGGUCUGAGAGGAUGGCCAGCCACACUGGAACUGAGACACGGUCCAGACUCCUACGGGAGGCAGCAGUGGGGAAUCUUGCACAAUGGGCGAAAGCCUGAUGCAGCGACGCCGCGUGGGGGAUGAAGCAUUUCGGUGUGUAAACCCCUUUCGAUCCGGACGAAAACCUCGCAAGAGGAUUGACGGUACGGAUAUAAGAAGCCCCGGCUAACUACGUGCCAGCAGCCGCGGUAAGACGUAGGGGGCCAGCGUUGUUCGGAAUUACUGGGUGUAAAGGGUUCGUAGGCGGUGCGGCAAGUUGGGAGUGAAAUCUCUGGGCUCAACCCAGAGGCUGCUUCCAAAACUGCUGUGCUUGAGUGCGAGAGAGGCUCGUGGAAUUGCAGGUGCAGCGGUGAAAUGCGUAGAUAUCUGCAGGAACACCCGUGGCGAAAGCGGCGAGCUGGAUCACUACUGACGCUGAGGAACGAAAGCUAGGGGAGCAAACAGGAUUAGAUACCCUGGUAGUCCUAGCCCUAAACGAUCAGGACUUGGGGUGCCACCCGUUCGGGUGUCGUCCCGGAGCUAACGCGUUAAGUCCUGCACCUGGGGAGUACGGUCGCAAGACUG